rnacentral:misc_RNA from 1 species
GAUGAAGAACGUAGCGAAAUGCGAUAAGUAAUGUGAAUUGCAGAAUUCAGUGAAUCAUCGAAUCUUUGAACGCACAUUGCGCCCGCCAGGAUUCUGGCGGGCAUGCCUGUUCGAGCGUCAUUUCAACCAUCAAGCCCCAGGCUUGUGUUGGGGACCUGCGGCUGCCGCAGGCCCUGAAAACCAGUGGCGGGCUCGCUGUCACACCGGGCGUAGUAGAUUUUAUCUCGCUCAGGGCGUGCUGCGGGUUCCGGCCGUUAAAAAGCCUUUUUUACCCAAGGUUGACCUCGGAUCAGGUAGGAAGACCCGCUGAACUUAAGCAUAUCAAUAAGCGGAGGA